rnacentral:ncRNA from 1 species
AAAAAUUCUACGAAGAGAAAAAGUAAGUAUUAUCUUGUUCUACAGAGAGUUGGUGUUUGCUGAAAACCAAUGUUCAAGUUUUACUAAAAAUCAUCUCUGAGAAGCAAUACUGAACAAUUUUUAGUAAGUGUUGCCGGUAUCUGUCACCGUUAAAAGAUAAGCGUAUUGUUAGAUACGUAACUGAGUGCUACAAAUAGGUUUAUUUAUUAUACCUUUAUUUGUAGAAUUAGGGUGGUAACACGGAUAAUCCGUCCCUUGU